GACGAACCGUGCGAACGUUAUUCGGAAUCACUGGGCUUAAAGCGCGUGUAGGCGGGGUGGCACGUCCGGCGCUGAAAUCCCCCGGCUCAACCGGGGAACGGGCGCGGAUACGACCGCCCUCGAGGGACGUAGGGGGACCUGGAACUUCCGGUGGAGCGGUGAAAUGCGUUGAGAUCGGAAGGAACGCCCGUGGCGAGAGCGAGGUCCUGGACGUCCGCUGACGCUGAGACGCGAAAGCCAGGGGAGCGAACGGG
rnacentral:rRNA from 1 species